rnacentral:lncRNA from 1 species
UUUCCCUGGGUCAUUUAUUUUUUUCGCCACCUCUUUCGCCAAAACAAUAUAUUUUUCCCCACUUUAUUUUUUAAUUAGCCACAAUAUUACAAUUUAUCUGUUUUGAUAUGAUUGUCUUGAACCUCUUUUCAUAGUUCAGUGAGUGACUAUAUAGCUACUCGAAGAAUUGUUUGCUAUGUUGAUUCUCUAUUAUAAGUUAUACGCUAACGAUCUUUGUAUGUGUGCAACUAUAUGGUCAUAAUGCCAAUCUAACAGUUCUCAUUUGACCAAGUAAUCAUUGAUAAUUCACAAAGUUAAGUUUCCUAGUUCAAGUCAGUAUCUCAGAUAUGAUAGCAUAUUAUAUUUAAUAUUUG